UUCUGCGAGGGUGACCUGCGGGUGGCAGCAGCUGCUCACAGGUCCCUCGGCCCGGGCUGAGCAGUGCCCGAGCACCGGGAAGACUGCAGAGCCCUUCCCGGGAGAGCAGGGACCACCGAGCUACAGGGUGGUGGUCCAAGGGAGCCCUCGAAGGUGAGGGUGACACGGAAGGGCUGUCAUGCACCAUCGCCUGUGACCAGGAAGGAGACUUUGCUACAAAGGAGACCUUAUGCCAACCUGAUGGCCGCUUCCAGGCAGAAGUCAGGCACGAUCUCUCUGCUUCCGCAUUGAAAACCGUGAGAUAUGACAGCUCUAUCAUCUGGGUGCUCCCUGUGUGAAUAGCAUACAUCCCCCAAGACACAUCUAUUGCAGCAUCCAAGCCAAACCCGGAUGGGCUGAUUCCAGUGUGGUGACAUCUGAAGCGCAUUCCUAACAACCAAGAAAGUACCAUCUGAGAAAGGCCAUGGGGAAAAAUCUGGAGGGGAAUCAUUCACUUGUGGUGCUAGAAAUGUGCAUGAGCGGAGGAGUGCAGAGAAGAUGGCACUGUGAUUACUGACUUGAUGUGCCACUUGGAGGAGGAAAGUCUGGUGAGGAACCAUCCCCAACGUCGUUAAGUGGGUAUGGUACUGCUGCCCAGAAGGAGGAGCGCCAGCAUUUUCCAGAUCACUUUGUCAUCCCUCUCAAUACCAGAGAAGUUCAGUGACAACAAAAUGCACUUUAUUAUGUUAAAAUGAAGAACUGAAAAAAAUAAUUUCUGGAAUUAAAAAAAUAUAUAUGCAAGCAUUAGAACAGAAACUUGCAUUUAUAAUCACUGGUAACAUUGGGGUGGACUCCUGAGAUGCCCCUCUGUGCACUCUGGGCUGACAGAACUAGUCUGUAGCUGUUAAGGUUGUCCCAGUCCAUCGAGUGCACCCUCAUACUCCAGUACGUGACGCCAGGCAGGGGUCUUAAUCCUGACGUUGCAUAUAUCCUUAUUUCCUGGAAAUCCACUGGUUAAAAACACACUCUUCAGACUUCCUGGUAACGUGGAGUGUUGAAAAUGAAUUAAUUAUGAUAUAAAUUUCUUCUCCUUGUGUUAAUUAAUUUCAGCAAAGAACAUGUAAGCUGACCUCCCGUAGCUGGUGAAGCAGAGCAGGUGGAUACGCAUUUCAGUGUAUAGCAGUUACUGGAGGUAAAUCAACCGCACUGAUUGCAGAGUCUCCUGGUGUGUCUCAAGUGGAAACGCUGGAGCCAGCUACUUUUCUCCUCACGCUUCAGGAUGGCUGAGAUGACUCUCUCUUGCCAGCUUUGCUUAGCUAAGAUUUUUCUAGUAAAUGGUGCAUCUUAAUAACACAAGGUUACAGAUAUACUGGAGUAACACCUUAAUAACCUGUCAAUGCCAAGUCAGGUGGCAAGAUUUAAUGCAAUAUUGCUAAUAGUGGUUUUAAGGGUGGGAUGCCACGUUGUGCUCGCUAGUAGAUCUGGGAAGCUUCAGUGCUGAAGGCUCCAGUGCUGUUGUAAUGUGGGGUCUGGAGGCUGCUCUUGCACAGAUAACGUCUGUCAGGGUGUCAAAAACUCAUGAAAGUUGUGAAUUUCCCUGCAUUCCGGAUGGGAACACCUUGGGUCGUUUACCAGCACUUUGCACUGUACAAACUCCGUGACAUCAGUUCCAUAUUUUAGGUGCCUUCCAGAAAAGCAUUAUUUCAUGCUCUGAAAUUCCUUGUUAUUUGCUGUAGUGGACACAUUUGGAGCCAAGGUCUGACCGGGUGGCUUCAUCAGCCUUUCGGGAGAACGGAAGACUUGCUGAUUGUAACUACAUAUUUUGGCAUUGGACCUUCUCUUCCUGCGAGCUGUGACUAGCCUGUCUGUUGGUCGUGCCACAUCUGUCCAGCCACUGAUGGCAUCUCAGAGAGAGCACUGAGGCACUGUGCUACAUGUGUAUGAUUUUACUGAUUUAAAGCCCAAGACCUAAGGGUAUGGAGAACUGCUCCAGCUGCCUGAAUAAAACUGCCCAGCACAACCACUGAAACCCAAGGGCUGCUGCUCUGUAUGGAGCAUCUUGCUAACGAGCAGCAGGACAAGGAGUACAACACACGCCAUCUAAUGCCUGGCAUAUGCCCUCAGUGUCAGCGAGAAUUUAAUCUUUAGCGUUAUUCCCUUGGAGUGUUUACCUGCCUCAUAAUACUUAAGGGAUGCCCUUGGCUUAGCAUGGGAAAUGACAUAAACGUCGGAAGCGUCAGACCACUGU